rnacentral:rRNA from 1 species
UACGGAGGGUCCGAGCGUUAUCCGGAUUUACUGGGUUUAAAGGGUGCGCAGGCGGCGUGCCAAGUCAGUGGUGAAAGCCUGUGGCUCAACCAUAGGACUGCCAUUGAAACUGGUAUGCUAGAGUAUGUUCGAGGCAGGCGGAAUGAGCCAUGUAGCGGUGAAAUGCAUAGAUAUGGCUUAGAAGGCCGAUAGCGGAGGCAGCUUGCCAGGACAUUACUGACGCUGAGGCACGAAAGCGUGGGUAGCGAACAGG